rnacentral:rRNA from 1 species
UACAGGGGGGGGCAAGCGUUGUUCGGAAUUACUGGGCGUAAAGGGUUCGUAGGUGGCCACUUAAGUCAGACGUGAAAUCCCUCAGCUUAACUGGGGAACUGCGUCUGAUACUGGGUGGCUUGAGUGCAGGAGAGGAAUGCGGAAUUCCAGGUGUAGCGGUGAAAUGCGUAGAUAUCUGGAGGAACACCGGUGGCGAAGGCGGCAUUCUGGACUGUAACUGACACUGAGGAACGAAAGCCAGGGGAGCAAACGGGG